CGCCAAGCGAGUGUCUCACCAGCCUCCUUCUCCUCUAGUCCCUGAUCCAAGAUCUCUCUUUUUGCAGACCAGGGAGUUAAAUAAGUUAAUUUUAGAGCAAGAUGAGAUUGGAGAAGUGCUGGUUUUGUUCCUCCACUGUAUAUCCGGGGCAUGGUAUUCAGUUCGUUCGCAAUGAUGCCAAGUUGCUUGGAACCCACGACCGUUGCUUGUGACCGAGAGAACCGGGUGUGUUGAGCGGCUGGCGAGGCGUGGAGCAUGGGGAGUUCUUGGGUCUGCGGCGCUCAGUUGGGAACCAUGAACUAGGGUUACUGCGUAAACUGGGCCGAACAUUG